rnacentral:rRNA from 1 species
CUGGAACUGAGACACGGUCCAGACUCCUACGGGAGGCAGCAGUGGGGAAUAUUGCACAAUGGGGGAAACCCUGGUGCAGCGACGUCGUGUGAGCGAUGAAGGCUUUCGAGUCGUAAAGCUCUGUCCUAAGGGAAGAAGAAGUGACGGUACCUUAGGAGGAAGCCCCGGCUAACUACGUGCCAGCAGCCGCGGUAAUACGUAGGGGGCGAGCGUUGUCCGGAAUUACUGGGCAUAAAGGGUGAGUAGGCGGCCUAGCAAGUCAGGUGUUAAAUCCUUCGGCUCAACCGAAGUAAGCACUUGAAACUGUUAGGCUUGAGUGCAGGAGAGGAGAGUGGAAUUCCUAGUGUAGCGGUGAAAUGCGCAGAUAUUAGGAAGAACACCAGUGGCGAAGGCGACUCUCUGGACUGCAACUGACGCUGAGGCACGAAAACGUGGGUAGCGAACAGGAUUAGAUACCCUGGUAGUCCACGCCGUAAACGAUGAGUGCUAGGUGUUGGAGGGUACAACCUUCAGUGCCGGAGUUAACACAUUAAGCACUCCGCCUGGGGAGUACGAUCGCAAGAUUGAAACUCAAAGGAAUUGACGGGGGCCCGCACAAGCAGCGGAGCAUGUGGUUUAAUUCGAAGCAACGCGAAGAACCUUACCAAGACUUGACAUCCCUCUGAUAGUCCUAGAGAUAGGACGUUUCUUCGGAACAGAGGUGACAGGUGGUGCAUGGUUGUCGUCAGCUCGUGUCGUGAGAUGUUGGGUUAAGUCCCGCAACGAGCGCAACCCUUACCUUUAGUUGCCAUCAGAUAAGCUGGGCACUCUAGAGGGACUGCCGGUGACAAACCGGAGGAAGGUGGGGAUGACGUCAAAUCAUCAUGCCCCUUAUGUCUUGGGCUACACACGUGCUACAAUGGUCGGUACAACGGGUAGCCAACCCGCGAGGGGGAGCCAAUCCCAAUAAGCCGAUCCCAGUUCGGAUUGUAGGCUGCAAUUCGCCUACAUGAAGUUGGAGUUGCUAGUAAUCGCGGAUCAGAAUGUCGCGGUGAUGCGUUCCCGGGCCUUGUACACACCGCCCGUCACACCAUGAGAGUUGGAACACCCGAAGCCAUCGGGCUAACAUAUGAGGCAGAUGUCGAAGGUGGGACCAAU